rnacentral:rRNA from 1 species
UGGGGAAUAUUGGACAAUGGGCGCAAGCCUGAUCCAGCAAUGCCGCGUGUGUGAAGAAGGCCUUCGGGUUGUAAAGCACUUUUAUCAGGAGCGAAACGCUGUCGGCUAAUACCCGGCGGAACUGACGGUACCUGAGGAAUAAGCACCGGCUAACUUCGUGCCAGCAGCCGCGGUAAUACGAAGGGUGCAAGCGUUAAUCGGAAUUACUGGGCGUAAAGCGUGCGUAGGCGGUUUCUUAAGUCUGCUGUGAAAUCCCCGGGCUCAACCUGGGAAUGGCAGUGGAUACUGGGAGGCUAGAGUGUGUCAGAGGGUGGUGGAAUUCCCGGUGUAGCGGUGAAAUGCGUAGAGAUCGGGAGGAACAUCAGUGGCGAAGGCGGCCACCUGGGACAACACUGACGCUGAGGCAGCGAAAGCGUGGGGAGCAAACAGGAUUAGAUACCCUGGUAGUCCACGCCCUAAAGCGAUGCGAACUGGAUGUUGGUCUCAACUCGGAGAUCAGUGUCGAAGCUAACGCGUUAAGUUCGCCGCCUGGGGAGUACGGUCGCAAGACUGAAACUCAAAGGAAUUGACGGGGUCAUAGCUGUUUCC